UACGGAGGAUCCGAGCGUUAUCCGGAUUUAUUGGGUUUAAAGGGUGCGUAGGCGGCGCGGUAAGUCGGGUGUGAAAUCUCGGAGCUUAACUCCGAAACUGCAUUCGAUACUGCCGUGCUUGAGGACUGGAGAGGAGACUGGAAUUUACGGUGUAGCGGUGAAAUGCGUAGAUAUCGUAAGGAAGACCAGUGGCGAAGGCGGGUCUCUGGACAGUUCCUGACGCUGAGGCACGAAGGCCAGGGGAGCAAACGGG
rnacentral:rRNA from 1 species